rnacentral:lncRNA from 1 species
CCACGUUCUCAGGAACAUAAAUGUGACCCAAAGGAGACCCCAGUGAAGGUCCAGACCUGAUCUGCACUCAGGACACUGCCCCCGCCACCCUCACGCCUGGACGGUGGGGACGGUGGGGGCAGCCCCGGGUGUCCCUGGCCUGGUAGGAGGCAUCGGGAAGGGCAGAAGCAGGAGCCAAGGUCUUUCUCGGCAUAACAGGGUCUGCACAUCAGAAAUCCAAAGUCCCUCCCGGGAACCAGAGCAGGUACGUUUGGGUCAGAAGAAGGUGAUGACCUAGAGCAGGUGGGUAUCUUGGGCCCCAGCCAGUGCGGUGGCCCCCAGGGACCCUGCUGGGGGUACA